rnacentral:tRNA from 1 species
GGCUCUGUGGCGCAACGGAUCGCGCGUUGGACUUCUAGCAAAUCCUUCAGGAGGGAAUUCAAAGGUUGUGGGUUCGAGUCCCACCGGAGUCA